rnacentral:rRNA from 1 species
AGAGUUUGAUCCUGGCUCAGAACGAACGCUGGCGGCAUGCCUAACACAUGCAAGUCGAACGCUCUUGGUUUCGGCCAAGGGAGUGGCGCACGGGUGAGUAACGCGUGGGAACCUGCCCAGGAGUGGGGGAUAACCGAGGGAAACUUCGGCUAAUACCGCAUACGACCUGAGGGUGAAAGAUUUAUCGCUCCUGGAGGGGC